AGUGAACGCUGGCGGUAGGCCUAACACAUGCAAGUCGAACGGCAGCACAGUAAGAGCUUGCUCUUACGGGUGGCGAGUGGCGGACGGGUGAGGAGUACAUCGGAAUCUACUUUUUCGUGGGGGAUAACGUAGGGAAACUUACGCUAAUACCGCAUACGACCUACGGGUGAAAGCAGGGGAUCUUCGGACCUUGCGCGAUUGAAUGAGCCGAUGUCGGAUUAGCUAGUUGGCGGGGUAAAGGCCCACCAAGGCGACGAUCCGUAGCUGGUCUGAGAGAUGAUCAGCCACACUGGAACUGAGACACGGUCCAGACUCCUACGGGAGGCAGCAGUGGGGAAUAUUGGACAAUGGGCGCAAGCCUGAUCCAGCCAUACCGCGUGGGUGAAGAAGGCCUUCGGGUUGUAAAGCCCUUUUGUUGGGAAAGAAAAGCAGCAGGUUAAUACCCCGCUGUUCUGACGGUACCCAAAGAAUAAGCACCGGCUAACUUCGUG
rnacentral:rRNA from 1 species